GCUUUACAUUCUUCCACACGGCAGUGACGGCACAUGAACGCAACACAAACAAACCUGGAGGAGAGUGAACGUGACAAUUCUGAUUAGGAGAAGGACUCCCACGACCACCGAAGACAAAGUGCUGUGCUGCAUGUCUCUGUUCGGGAGCCCCAGAGGUCAUCUCCCUCUGUGUCAUCACAACCUCAGCCUCCUCACAGCUCCUGGCCCCAACGCGGCGACCCCACGCAGAGAGAGCUCCCCUCCUUACACCUACACAACUCCAGACCGACCGAGCUGUCCUGCAAUUAAAUCUUUCUCUUGUAGCAUCCUUUCCUUCAUCCGUGACUCAAUCUCCCACAAAGGC
ensembl:lncRNA